UUUUGUAUGUACCGUAUGAAUAAGGAUCGGCUAACUCCGUGCCAGCAGCCGCGGUAAUACGGAGGAUCCGAGCGUUAUCCGGAUUUAUUGGGUUUAAAGGGAGCGUAGGCGGGUUGUUAAGUCAGUUGUGAAAGUUUGCGGCUCAACCGUAAAAUUGCAGUUGAUACUGGCGACCUUGAGUGCAACAGAGGUAGGCGGAAUUCGUGGUGUAGCGGUGAAAUGCUUAGAUAUCACGAAGAACUCCGAUUGCGAAGGCAGCUUACUGGAUUGUAACUGACGCUGAUGCUCGAAAGUGUGGGUAUCAAACAGGAUUAGAUACCCUGGUAGUCCACACAGUAAACGAUGAAUACUCGCUGUUGGCGAUAUACGGUCAGCGGCCAAGCGAAAGCAUUAAGUAUUCCACCUGGGGAGUACGCCGGCAACGGUGAAACUCAAAGGAAUUGACGGGGGCCCGCACAAGCGGAGGAACAUGUGGUUUAAUUCGAUGAUACGCGAGGAACCUUACCCGGGCUUAAAUUGCAACUGACUGAACCGGAAACGGUUCUUUCUUCGGACAGUUGUGAAGGUGCUGCAUGGUUGUCGUCAGCUCGUGCCGUGAGGUGUCGGCUUAAGUGCCAUAACGAGCGCAACCCUUAUCGAUAGUUACUAGCAGGUCAUGCUGAGGACUCUAUUGAGACUGCCGUCGUAAGAUGUGAGGAAGGUGGGGAUGACGUCAAAUCAGCACGGCCCUUACGUCCGGGGCUACACACGUGUUACAAUGGGGGGUACAGAAGGCAGCUACACGGCGACGUGGUGCUAAUCCCUAAAGCCUCUCUCAGUUCGGAUUGGAGUCUGCAACCCGACUCCAUGAAGCUGGAUUCGCUAGUAAUCGCGCAUCAGCCACGGCGCGGUGAAUACGUUCCCGGGCCUUGUACACACCGCCCGUCAAGCCAUGAAAGCCGGGGGUACCUGAAGUACGUAACCGCGAGGAGCGUCCUAGGGUAAAACUGGUGAUUGGGGCUAAGUCGUAACAAGGUAGCCGUACCGGAAGGUGCGGCUG
rnacentral:rRNA from 1 species